rnacentral:rRNA from 1 species
ACGUCAAGUCCUCAUGGCCUUUAUGUCUAGGGCUACACACGUGCUACAAUGGGUGGUACAAAGAGCGCUAACUCGCGAGAGUAUGCAAAUCUCAAAAAGCCAUCCUCAGUUCGGAUUGGAGUCUGCAACUCGACUCCAUGAAGUUGGAAUCGCUAGUAAUCGCGGAUCAGCAUGCCGCGGUGAAUUACCGGUUCCCGGGCCUU